rnacentral:tRNA from 1 species
UGGCUUGUAGCUCAAUGGUGAGAGCAUUUGCCUUAUACGCAACAGGUUGCCGGUUCGAACCCGGCCAGGCCAA